rnacentral:rRNA from 1 species
UACGGAGGGUGCAAGCGUUAUCCGGAUUUACUGGGUUUAAAGGGUGCGUAGGUGGGUCUGUAAGUCAGUGGUGAAAUCUCCGGGCUUAACCCGGAAACUGCCAUUGAUACUAUAGGUCUUGAAUAUCCUGGAGGUGAGCGGAAUAUGUCAUGUAGCGGUGAAAUGCUUAGAUAUGACAUAGAACACCAAUUGCGAAGGCAGCUCACUACGGGAUUAUUGACACUGAGGCACGAAAGCCGGGGGAGCAAACGGG